rnacentral:lncRNA from 1 species
UCCUAUCAGUCUCCGCCAUUGCCUUCCUCACCAUCAUCACCGGCAUCAUUUAUUAAUCUUAAAUUAUUGGUACAUUCAUGUAUUGGUGAGAUAGAUUAGCCACAUGGUGUUUUUUCACUAACAAACCUUUUGAGGAAUUGUAGUAGGGGUGGAGGAUGACUGUUGCCACUCUCGUCCUGGGGGUCUCGGAGCGUCGACUGCUUCGAGAAAUUGGAGCAGAUUGGUGAAGGCACAUACGGGUGAGCGCAAUGACCGGUCAAAGUUCUCUGUUUAAUUACUCAGUUGCGUUGAUUCCCGGACUGGUUUAAUUUGUAUUUCUGGAUGCUUGAU